rnacentral:rRNA from 1 species
AUUGAACGCUGGCGGCAGGCCUAACACAUGCAAGUCGAACGAGUGGCGGACGGGUGAGUAAUGUCUGGGAAACUGCCUGAUGGAGGGGGAUCACUACUGGCCACGGUAGCUAAUACAGCAUAACCUCGGAUGAUCCCAGAUGGGAAUAGCUAGUGGGAGGGGUAAAGGCUCACCUAGGCGACGAUCCCUAGCGGGUCUGAGAGGAGGACCAGCCACACUGGAACUGAGACACGGUCCAGACUCCUACGGGAGGCAGCAGUGGGGAAUAUGGGACAAUGGGCGCAAGCCUGAUGCAGCCAUGCCGCGUGUAUGAAGAAGGCCUUCGGGUUGUAAAGUACUUUCAGCGGGGAGGCGUUACCCGCAGAAGAAGCACCGGCUAACUCCGUGCCAGCAGCCGCGGUAAUUC